rnacentral:rRNA from 1 species
GAUGAACGCUAGCUACAGGCUUAACACAUGCAAGUCGAGGGGAAACGAUAUUGGAAGCUUGCUUCCGAUAGGCGUCGACCGGCGCACGGGUGAGUAACGCGUAUCCAACCUGCCCACCACUUGGGGAUAACCUUGCGAAAGUAAGACUAAUACCCAAUGACGUCUCUAGAAGACAUCUGAAAGAGAUUAAAGAUUUAUCGGUGAUGGAUGGGGAUGCGUCUGAUUAGCUUGUUGGCGGGGUAACGGCCCACCAAGGCGACGAUCAGUAGGGGUUCUGAGAGGAAGGUCCCCCACAUUGGAACUGAGACACGGUCCAAACUCCUACGGGAGGCAGCAGUGAGGAAUAUUGGUCAAUGGGCGAGAGCCUGAACCAGCCAAGUAGCGUGCAGGAAGACGGCCCUAUGGGUUGUAAACUGCUUUUAUAAGGGAAUAAAGUGGGAGUCGUGACUCCUUUUGCAUGUACCUUAUGAAUAAGGACCGGCUAAUUCCGUGCCAGCCGCCGCAGUAA